rnacentral:hammerhead_ribozyme from 1 species
ACACUGCUGAGGAGUCCUAUAAUAGGACGAAACAGCCGUUCAGUGC